AUACGUAGGGAGCAAGCGUUGUCCGGAUUUACUGGGUGUAAAGGGUGCGUAGGCGGCUCUGCAAGUCAGGCGUGAAAUAUAUAGGCUUAACCCAUAGACUGCGUUUGAAACUGUGGAGCUUGAGUGAAGUAGAGGUAGGCGGAAUUCCCGGUGUAGCGGUGAAAUGCGUAGAGAUCGGGAGGAACACCAGUGGCGAAGGCUGCCUGCUGGGCUUUAACUGACGCUGAGGCACGAAAGCAUGGAUAGCAAACAGGAUUAGAUGACCUGGUAGUCCAUGCCGUAAACGAUGAUUACUAGGUGUGGGGGGUCUGACCCCUUCCGUGCCGGAGUUAACACAAUAAGUAAUCCACCUGGGGAGUACGACCGCAAGGUUGA
rnacentral:rRNA from 1 species